rnacentral:rRNA from 1 species
CCCUUAGAUAUCCUAGGCUGCACGCGUGCUACAAUGAGAGAGACAAAGAGUUUGAGCUGAGACUAGCGUCCCGGCAAAUCUGUAAACUCUCUCGUAGUAAGGAUUGAAGAUUGCAAUUAUUCUUCAUGAAUCCGGAAUUACUUGUAGGCGUGACUCAUUAUGUCACACCGAAUAUGUCCCUGCUUUUUGUACACACCGCCCGUCGCUUCAACCGACGAACAUGUUGGCGAUUGGGGAAGAGUGGAGAAUGACGGGGGGGCAACCCCUCUGAGUUUUCUGCAAAUCCUUGUAAGUCUGUGUGUUUGGAGGAUGGAGAAGUCGUAACA